UGGUGGUGCAUGGCCGUUCUUAGUUGGUGGAGUGAUUUGUCUGGUUAAUUCCGAUAACGAACGAGACCUCAGCCAUCUAAAUAGCWGUMGCUAACCCGUUAGCYAUAUCCUYCGYGGAUAGRUCCGCUUCUUAGAGGGACAAUCUGUGYAUAGCAGAUGGAGGYUUGAGGCAAUAACAGGUCAGUGAUGCCCUUAGAUGCUCUGGGCUGCACGCGCGCUACAAUGGUGCAUUCAGCGAGUUCAUCCUUGCCUGAGAAGGCUGGGUAAUCUYAAAAGUGCUUCCAAGUUGGGAUAGAUGAUUGCAAUUGU
rnacentral:rRNA from 1 species